rnacentral:rRNA from 1 species
CGCUAGCGGGAGGCCUAAUACAUGCAAGUCGAACGCUCUGAUUUCGGUCAGGGAGUGGCGCACGGGUGAGUAACACGUACGCAAUCUGCCUUGUGCAGGAGGAUAGCCCUGGGAGACUGGGCGUAAUACUCCAUGGUAUUGUCCAAUUGCAUGAUUGGAUAAUUAAAGCUACGGCGGCACGAGAUGAGCGUGCGUCUGAUUAGGUAGUUGGUGAGGUAACGGCUCACCAAGCCGACGAUCAGUAAGGGGCGUGAGAGCGUGGCCCCUCACACGGGUACUGAGACACGGCCCAGACUCCUACGGGAGGCAGCAGUGAGGAAUAUUGGACAAUGGGCGAAAGCCUGAUCCAGCCAUGCCGCGUGAGUGAAGAAGGCCCUAGGGUUGUAAAGCUCUUUUAGACGUGAAGAUAAUGACGGUAGCGUCAGAAAAAGCUCCGGCUAACUCCGUGCCAGCAGCCGCGGUAAUACGGGGGGAGCGAGCGUUGUUCGGAAUCACUGGGCGUAAAGCGUGCGCAGGCGGUUUGGCAAGUCAGAAGUGAAAUCCCGGGGCUCAACCCCGGAACUGCUUUUGAAACUGCUUUACUAGAGUAUGGUAGAGGUUGGGAGAAUUCCUAGUGUAGAGGUGAAAUUCGUAGAUAUUAGGAGGAAUACCAGUGGCGUAGGCGCCCAACUGGACCAUUACUGACGCUCAGGCACGAAAGCGUGGGGAGCAAACAGGAUUAGAUACCCUGGUAGUCCACGCCCUAAACGAUGUGUGCUAGUUGUUAGUCCCAUAGGGAUUAGUGACGCAGCUAACGCGUUAAGCACACCGCCUGGGGAGUACGGCCGCAAGGUUAAAACUCAAAGAAAUUGACGGGGACCCGCACAAGCGGUGGAGCAUGUGGUUUAAUUCGAAGCAACGCGAAGAACCUUACCAACCCUUGACAUCCCGGUCGCGCUCUCCAGAGAUGGAUCGCUUCAGUUCGGCUGGACCGGUGACAGGUGCUGCACGGCUGUCGUCAGCUCGUGUCGUGAGAUGUUCGGUUAAGUCCGGCAACGAGCGCAACCCCUAUUUUCAGUUACCAGCAUUUAGUUGGGUACUCUGGCAAAACUGCCCGUGACAAGCGGGAGGAAGGUGGGGACGACGUCAAGUCAUCAUGGCCCUUACGGGCUGGGCUACACACGUGCUACAAUGGCGGUGACAAUGGGUAUUAGUCCGCGAGGAGGAAAUAACCCCUAAAAGCCGUCUCAGUUCGGAUUGCACUCUGCAACUCGGGUGCAUGAAGCUGGAAUCGCUAGUAAUCGUGAAUCAGCAUGUCGCGGUGAAUACGUUCCC